UGGGCACAGUUGCUAGUUUGCCUAGUUGC
rnacentral:piRNA from 1 species